UCCAAUUUUGAGCAACUUUUUCGAGCAUUUCGGCCGGAAUAGCCCGAAUUUCUUCGGAAAUGUUGUCUUCCAAAGCUGGAAUAGUUGCUGGCUUAUUUCUGUAGACUUUAGACUUGACGUAGCCCCACAAAAAAUAGUCUAAAGGCGUUAAAUCGCAUGAUCUUGGUGGCCAACUUACGGGUCCAUUUCUUGAGAUGAAUUGUUGUCCGAAGUUUUCCCUCAAAAUGGCCAUAGAAUCGCGAGCUGUGUGGCAUGUAGCGCCAUCUUGUUGAAACCACAUGUCAACCAAGUUCAGUUCUUCCAUUUUUGGCAACAAAAAGUUUGUUAGCAUCGAACGAUAGCGAUCGCCAUUCACCGUAACGUUGCGUCCAACAGCAUCUUUGAAAAAAUACGGUCCAAUGAUUCCACCAGCGUACAAACCACACCAAACAGUGCAUUUUUCGGGAUGCAUGGGCAGUUCUUGAACGGCUUCUGGUUGCUCUUCACCCCAAAUGCGGCAAUUUUGCUUAUUUACGUAGCCAUUCAACCAGAAAUGAGCCACAUCGCUGAACAAAAUUUGUCGAUAAAACACAUUUCGAACCGAACACUGAUUUUGGUAAUAAAAUUCAAUGAUUUGCAAGCGUUGCUCGUUAGUAAGUCUAUUCAUGAUGAAAUGUCAAAGCAUACUGAGCAUCUUUCUCUUUGACACCAUGUCUGAAAUCCCACGUGAUCUGUCAAAUACUAAUGCAUGAAAAUCCUAACCUCAAAAAAAUCACCCGUUAUGUAGUAAGUAUAACUUGAAACUAGUCACUUAAUUAAUAGUAAAUCGAAUGUCUAGAAUCGAUUCAUAAUGUACUUCGACUACUGAAAGUCGAUUACGAAAAAUCGAUUAUUUUACGAGAAAACUCGAUUCUCGAGUAGAAUCGGAAUCGAAUUUACUAUCCCUAUUGCGUACGGAAAUCGGCUACGCGAAUAUGACCGUCGGUGCCUUGGUAAAGCUUCUCUAUGCUGUCAAGCCGCCAUUCGGUAAGGGGGAGACAUUCGUCAGGAAUCAGGACACAAUCUCCAUUCUUUGAUAUAGUCUUCUUUCCAUCGGCGACUGAAAUUAUGAUAGAGAAUUUUAAUUCUUUUCCAUCUAUUUAGUAAGGAUAGCGACUCCACGCCUGGCUCAAAUGUGGCCAGAAUGGGUGCUCAUUUUAGAAAAUGCCCUGGAAUUAGGACUGUGAAAUCGGAGGGAUCUUGCGAGAUUGCCGUGAAUGGCAGUGAGUUGAGAACGGCUUCGACUUUAACUAAUAAUGUCGUGAAUUCUUCAUAAUUAAAUUUGUAGCUGCCACCUAGCUUCUUGAAAUGAGAUUUGAAGCUCUUUACAACUGAUUCCCAUAAACCACCCAUAUGAGGAGCGCUUGGGGGUAUAAAUUGCCAAUUGAUACCUUGGGGAGCGUACUUUUGUACGAUGUCAGGUGAUACAUACUUUUUUAAAGAAAUCCACAAACUGUUUUUCUGUGGCUCGUUGAGCUCCAAUGAAUGUUUUGCCAUUAUCGCUCAUGAUUUUUGAUGGGAAACCACGGCGCGCGACGAAGCGAGCAGAUGCUGCGAGAAAAGCCUCUGUCGUCAGAUAAGUGCAUAGCUCAAGGUGUACUGCCUUUGUCGUGAAACAUACAAAGACAGCCACAUAGCUUUUCAUGAGAGUGGGAGACCUUAGAAUGGACGCCUUUAUUUGAAAAGGCCCAGCAAAAUCGACACCUGUGAUAGUGAAAGGCAGAGCGAAAUUGCAGCGUUCAGGUGGAAGUGCUGCCAUAAUCUGCGUUAGCAUUUUUUGCUAAUACAUAAUGCAGAUCUUGCACAUGAAAAUACAUUUCUUGAUUUGGGGCUUCAGACGAGGGAUGUAAUACUCUUGGCGUACCAUAUCUUGCAUGAGGCGUUGUUCGGCGUGUAACAUUAAUAUGUGGAGGAAUAAUGUGGCAAAUGUAGACUUCUCAGGUAUUAUGAUGGGGUGGCGUUCGUUGUAUGUUAGGUUUGAGUUAACAAGCCAACCAUUGGCACGAAUCAGACCUUCCGUGUCUACAAAUUGGGGUUAGAACUAAGAGUGAGCUCUUUUUGUCAAUCGGCUUCGAUUCUCUUAAUAAAGAUAUGUCGUGGCUGAAGUAGCGCGUUUGAGUUGAUGGGAUAAGAGCGACGUUUGCUUUUUGUACGUCUUGAUGCGUCAAUGUAUCCCAUUGGGUGGAAGUUGCUCCUUUAACUUUAAGUUUAAGGCGCUCUAAGAAUUUGAGCAUAUAGGGCUGGGGGGAACGAUGAAAAUCGUGCAAGGAUUCAUUAUCAUCCAAUAUUGUGUGAUAGGUGUCGACUUUUCGACUUUCUGGGACAAUAAUGUUGCGCAUUUGCGAUUGUGGCCAAGAAUCGGUAGAUUCUGUUAACCAUCGGGGGCCAUUCCACCGAAGUGUGGUAGUGGCAAGAUGCAGGGGUUUGCACCCUCUUGUAUCUAGAUUGGCAGAAUUGUCAGAACUGUCUACAUGUCGCUAUGUGGCUGAUUUCACUACGUCAAGUAUUUGCAACGUUCGAUUAGAAAUAUAUGUUUUCCACGCGCGUGGCGGCUUUUCUAACCGGACCAUAGAUAUAAUUUGCAUUUUGCCAUGUUUAAGUGAGUCUGCACCAUGGAAACUAGUUUUGCGAGUAGUAGAGCGCUACAGACGCCAAGUCUUGGUAGACUUAUCGUUUUUAGAGGCGCAACUUUUGUUUUUACCACUAGUAGGUGGCUUGUGAUUGCGGUAUCGCUUUGUUUGUCCACAUAGAUAGUGGCACAAUGUGCCUUUUCAGAGGCGUCACAGAAGCCAUGUAGUUCCACUUUUUAUUCGGGGGAAUAGUUUACCCACCGUGGAAUUUGUAUCUGCGAAAUGUCGGUCAGAUUAUUAGCCAACUGGGACUAUUUUUCUAAGCGAAGAUGUUGCACUUGUUAGUCCUAGUCGGCUCCGUCUACCCAUAAUUCUUGUAUCAUAAUUGGCGAAAGCCAACCUGCGGGGUCGAAAAGUUUUGCCAUUGAGAAUAAAAUCUGUCUCUUUGUUAUGGCGGAUAGUGCGGAUAUGGACUCAGUAGCGACUGAAAACUGGUCCGAUAUCGCAUUCCACUGGAUGCCUAGUGUUUUUGUUGUACUUUCCUGUUCAAACAUAAGGAUAUUAGUGUCCAAAAAAUUUUCUUUUGGUAUAUAUUUUAGGAUAUUUGGCUGAUUAAGUGUGAUAUUUUUAAUGGAAGCCCUGCGGUGUUGAGGGCAUUUAUCACUUGUGAUAAGGACUCGUAUGCUUGUAGAAGACUGUGACUUCCAGACAGGAUAUCGCCUACAUACGUUUGCGUUUUUAACACUUGUGUUGCCAGUCGAAAUUCUGACUUUGUGUCCCCUGCCAGUUCGUGGAGUGUAGGAAUUGCUACGUAUGGGGCAUAAUUUACAACAGAGGUAAUUGGUUUUAAUUUAAAGUCGCGUAGUGGACUAGUGAGAGACUUUCGGAAAAUAAUUCGCUGAAAAUCUUGGUCAUCAUUAUGUACGACUUUUUUCAAUACAUUUUUUCGAAAUCCCCAUUGAAAACGUAUUUGUAUAUACGUCAAUUUAAUGUGAGGAGCAUCAGGAGCUGUACUGCAGAGGUGCGGGAGUGACCUAAAGCGAGUCUGGUAGAGAAUUGUUGUUUAAGAGGGAGACGUACGACAUACUGACCAUUUCCAGAUCAAGAAGAUGGGGUUUUGUAAAAGUCUUCAUAAUACUGAUCUUCUGGCGUUGUAAUUGAAAUGAUUGGGAGUUCUUUCUAACUCUAAAAUUUUCCUUAAUUGUGAAUUAAGGUAUUCAUUGGAUAUUUCUUCAACUUGAGUUAUCAUUGUGGUAACUGGUUUCUCAACUUCUUUACUGGCGUAGAGGUUCCUCAACUAGUUCACUUAAGAUCCAACCGAAUAUAGUAUUCUAAACAAGAAGGAUGUUUGAAGUUUUGUUGGCAGUUUUAGCCUAUUUUGUGCCUUAGAUGCUAGGAAAGAUCGUUGUGAUCCUUGGUCUAUUAGGACCCUGAGCUUAAACAGUUCUUCACGAUGUUCUAUGGAGACGACUGCUGUGUGUACCCUACUUUGAAUCUCGAUUUGCCGCGUUUGAGUUUUUAAUGCCUUUGAGCAGCAUGGUGUCUCUUGGAAAAUUUCGAGAUUUUGUGUUUCAGGAGUUGCAGUUGCAACUAAACCCCUGCCUCUUAUUGAGAAAGCGCUACUUUGGAGUGUGUUGGGAAAGUUAUUGAAGUGCAACAUUGAAUGAUGCCUUUUGCGGCAAUAUACGCAAUUGAAUUUGCUUUGACUAUUAUUUAGAUUGGGUGCACGGGACAAGCAGUUUAUACAGAGUCUUUUUGAUCUGACAAAGUUGUUCCUUUCAUUAAUAUUAAAUUUUUUGAACUUAUCGCAAGAUUUGAUUUUAUGCUCUUCUGUACAUAGUUCGCAUGACGUAUGUUUGUUUUGUUCGGAUGUGAACGAUUGCGUUUUGAAAAACUAGGAUUUAAGUUGAUGAUGUCAUGUUGAGCGAUUUUAGUUCUGAUAAUUUUUUUAUCUACUCUUUCCGCAAUUUCAUAUUGGGUAGUUAAGAAAUCUUUCAUUUGUCGCCACGUUGGACACUUUCUUCUUAAUGAGAGCUAUUGCUCCCACAAAAGCAAUGAUUUUUCUGGUAAUGCAGCUGUGCAUAUAUUUACCACUAUAGGGUCGCAAUUAACUGUGGGAAUAUUCAGUGUCGAUAGAACCGACAAACAAUUUGAAACUCGGAUUGAAGUUUUAUGAAUUCUUCACUUGUUUCUUUCUGGCUUCUUUCUAAAUUCAUUAACAUGGUCAUUUGUUUGUCGACCAAUAUUCUUUCAUUCUCCUGCCGUUCUUUUAAAGCUUCCUAAGCCAAAUUGAAAUUAUUGUCAUUAAGAGCGAACUGCUUUACUAUGACGGUUGCUUGACCUUUUGUUUUGUAUCGGAGGUGAUACAAUUUUUGUGCUUGUGAUAAUUUAGGAUGGUUUAUGAAUAUGGCCGUAACAUGUCCAGGAAGGACGGCCAUUAUUCAUAACCUCCAUGAAAUAUUUCUGUAUCGCAUGCUGGCACUUUGAGGUGAAUGCCUGAACUUGCCUCUUGGGCUUGUGUUUGUGGCAGCUCUACUCUCAAUUGUGGAGAAGGUGCAUUUGACUUUGUUAAUUUUAAUUGAUCAGAGAUAAUGGCUUUUGUCUCUUCAUAUGGGUCAAGGCAGUCGUCAGUUUCUACAAUUGCGUCAUAUGCAGAUUAGAGACGUGUCCAAAAAUUGUCAGUAUUUUGAUUUAUAGCACCGUUUCAGAGUUAUCUUGAAUCAGCGAAGAUAAAAAUCGUGUGCAGUAUCUUAUUAAGAUGUCACAGAAAUGAAUUUUGCGUAAGAAAUAUCUUUCCCCCUUUUUUGCUUUAUAGCACCUUGUUUCGAGCGUGUCGCUUCUGCAGCACGAUGCUCUGGAGCGUAGUUAAAUAAAUAUUUUAGGUAAAUAAAAUUUUCAAGUCGAUUCUGUUUCUAGGUGAUAUUCUUCUUCUUCUUAAUUGGCGUAGACACCGCUUACGCGAUUAUAGCCGAGUUAACAACCGCGCGCCAGUCGUUUCUUCUUUUCGCUACGUGGCGCCAAUUGGAUAUUCCAAGCGAAGCCAGGUCCUUCUGCACUUGGUCCCUCCAACUUCCUCUGCUUCCCCCGGCGGGUACUGCGUCGAAUACUUUCAGAGCUGGAGUGUUUUCGUUCAUCCGGACAACAUGACCUAGCCGCUGUCUUUUAAUUCGCUGAACUAUGUCAGUGUCGUCGUAUAUCUCGUACAGCUCAUCGUUCCAUUGAAUGCGAUAUUCGCCGUGGCCAAUGCGCAAUGGACCACAAAUCUUUUACAGAACUUUUCUCUCGAAAACUCGCAACGUCGACUCAUCCGUUAUUGACAUCGUCCAGGCCUCUGUGCCAUAUAGCAGGACGGGAAUUAUGAGCGACUUAUAAAGCUUGGCUUUUGUUCGUCGAGAGAGGACUUUACUUUUCAAUUGCCUACUCAGUCCGAAGUAACACCUGUUGGCAAGAGUAAUCCUGCGUUGGAUUUUCAGGCUGACAUUGUUGGUGGUGUUAAUUCUGGUUCCUAAAUAGACGAAAUUAUCUACGACUUCAAAGUUAUGAUGGUCAACAGUGACGUGAGAGCCAAGUCGCCAGCGCGACGACUGUUUGUUUGAUGACAGGAGAUAUUUCGUCUUGCCCUCGUUCACUGCCAGACCCAUUUGUUUUGCUUCCUUGUCCAGUCUGGAGAAAGCAGAACUAACGGCGCGGGUGUUGAGGCCUAUGAUAUCAAUAUCAUCGGCAUACACCAGCAGUUGUACACUCUUAUAAAAGAUUGUAUCUGCUCGAUUAAGUUCUGCAGCUCGAACUAUUUUCUCCAGAAGCAGGUUGAAAAAGUCGCACGAUGGGGAAUCGCCUUGUCUGAAACCUCGUUUGGUAUCGAACGAUUCGGAGAUGUCCUUCCCGAUUCUGACGGAGCUAGAAAGAAAAUAAACGUAAAAUGGAAAAAUCCACUUGGCGCCUUUUUUUUGGCAGCGAAAAUAAGAUUUUUUGCUGCAUUUUCAAACUUUGAUCUAUAGCUUCUUUUGAAAAAUAAUAGUAUCACCCUAGUAAUGCAUUUUCAAACAAAAGUUUCCAAUAUAUUUUGCAAGUAGUAAAUGUCAGCUGUCAAAAAGAGCUUGUUUGUGGUACUAAAAUUAUGUUUUUCUGAAAAUUUGGUAUUUAAAUUGUAAAAUUUGCAAAAGUUUUAUCAUUUUUCGACUUUUAGGACCAACUUAAUCAAGAAAAUGAAUUAUCAAGAGAAAUAUUAAAUUUUUUCUAGAAAACAUGAACUAUCUGUAUUAUGAACAAAAUUUCUUAAUUAUCAAUAUUUUUUAUUGAAGUGCUUUUUAUAAUAAAAUAUAAUGUAACGCAAAUUAAAAGAUAAAAAUGCAAACAAAGUUACAUUAUUUUUCACAAGUAUUCACAUAUUAAUCACAAGUUAAAAUUAUUGUAAUCGCAAACUGCGCGUAAUAAGAUUUUUUGGAGUACUCGGGAUGACUCUUUACAGACUCACACGAUUGUUCGCUAAAGUAUCCUAAUCCCUUAUUGAUUUUCGUACAAAAUUCUGAUACAUGGUAAAAUAUUACAUGCAUCUUUGGUGUAACUGGAAUUCCAAGGGAUUCGUAACUCUUUUUAAAAGAGUCGAUAUGCUUUUGAAAAUUUAAAUCUAGUUCGAUUGAAUAGCAUCCGUCAACAAAUUUUUUCAAUGCUCGAAACAUAUCAACAUAUUUUGCGCAACUCAAACCAUCUAAUACGUCUGUCUUAUUUAACAAAGUUUUACGCGCAUUACCUGCAAAAGUCGGAGAUCCAUAUGUACACUGACGUUCUACAUUGCAUUUUUUGACCCAUUGUAAACUGACCUUUUCGUUUUCCAACAUCAUACAAUAUGUUUGAAUAAAAUAUUAACACCACCUAAUAAUAGGUGUAAUUCUGGAGGAGGAAUGACAUGACACUUCUUUAUCAUCGUUCGCCAAAAAGAGUGGUGGGUUUAUACAAUUAAAAAAAAAAUUAGAAUGUUUAAAAAUUUUCCCUUUCGAGCACCAGCUUCUUAAGUUUUUUAAACAAUUUUUCUGUCUAGCGGGUCCACAAUUAUUGAGAUUAAGAUGAGAUAUUUCACAGCAUCUGAACUACUAUGUCCCAUUAGACCAGUAACUUUGUUGGCAAGCUUGAGAUCAGUAGUGCGUUUCUGUAACCCAUUUCGAUCGAUGUUCUCGACUCAAAUUAUCGAUUUGACGUCACUCUCACUCAAUGUGUUUCUGUAAAAUAAUUACUCGAUUCAAUCGAUAGUCAGCUGAUAUGUUCCAUUCCAUUUCAGUAGGAAUGCUCGAUUGAAUGUGUUUCUGUAACCAAAUUGAAUGAAAUACUGUCGAUUGGUUUUCUCACUUCCGUUUGAGGUGAUGACAAAAAAAUUUUUCGUUAUAUUCAAAAUGGAAUUAGUUGAAUUUAAAGCAAAUGUAAGUAUAUUUUUGUAAAUAUAUUAUAUAUGAAUAGUUAAAAAAGAUUUGAUGCAUUUUCUUUACAGAGAAGUACGUCGGGGCGUGUUACGAAUGGCCAAAUAAGGCGGUUACUGCACUUAAUGCAGCAGCACCGCAGCGUUGGAAGGGGCCAAUUUAUGAAACCAAACGCGAGGAAGGAGCACGAAGAGAUUUGGGCUGCCAUUUCUGCUGAAUUAAAUGCAUUGGGAGGGUCCCACAAGUCCCCUAAUCAGUGGAAAAAGGUGACGAUAUGUGUGUUGGUUUUUUUGGUGUUGGAUAGACUGGAAAUCGGCAGUCAAGAAGCUGCACAAUGCCCACAGAGCGUUCGCCAGACGAACUGGAAACCUGCCGUUGCAGGACGGUGCAAAACCGUUGGGUGCCAUGGACCGGGAAAUUCUGGAGUUUUUUUCCAGCGACAUGGUGGACGGUGAUGGGCUCACUCCCGAAAUUGGUUUGCCGACAACUGCUGAAAUGGUCGAUGUUACCAUUGAGGAUGAGGGUGAUGCUACUGCCAACAUUGGGUAACGUUGGGACGCAAGCAAACGCGGACAGUUUGGACAUCUUCGAAGUGGAGGCACUUGAAGAGGUUGCAAUGGGUCAGGUGCUUGAGGUUGUGCCAAACAAACAGCAACCCAAACAGCGCACAAACCAAAGCUGUGUGGAAGAGGCGAGCAGUCUCAUUGAAAAUCACCAUGCGCAGCUGAAAGAGAUUUUGGAGAGACAACACAAGGAGCACAUGGGUGUUUUAAAUGGAAUUCACGAUACACUGAGAGCUCUGCUGGAAAACAUGCCGGGAGCGACUGUUGCAUAAGGAGUAGGCACAGCAAAAUAUUCAUAUUUUCUAAAUAUUAUAUCAUUGGUUGGGGCCAAGGCUUUGCGUAUGUACACCAAUAGCAGUAGCUGCUUCAAACGGGGUUACAUAGUCGCGCUCCAAUUGUUGUUGCAUUGAAAUCUAUUCCCGGAAGGACAGUAAUGUUCACUACAUUCGACUGUUAUCAUAAUAUAUAUUAUAAAAAAUAAAGAGUUAAACAAAAUUUGCAAACGGUAUCAUUUGGAGUGUUCCUCAUAUUUUUCUGAACACCACUGUAUGUGAAUUAACUACAAAAGUGGUUUCUUAAAAUAGUAUUUCGUAUAGCUCUUCCUUCAUUUAAAAUGUUAAGUAAUGAACCAUUGUCUCCAUGCGGAGAAUUUUCAAGUGGAUCAACUUCAGGAAGUGGAAAAUUAUAUCUCUUUCGAAUA